rnacentral:rRNA from 1 species
CCUACGGGGGGCAGCAGUGAGGAAUUUUUCGCAAUGGGCGCAAGCCUGACGAAGCAAUGCCGCGUGCAGGAAGAAGGCCUGUGGGUCGUAAACUGCUUUUCUCAGAGAAGAAGUUCUGACGGUAUCUGAGGAAUAAGCUCCGGCUAACUCUGUGCCAGCAGCCGCGGUAAUACAGAGGGAGCAAGCGUUAUCCGGAAUGAUUGGGCGUAAAGCGUUUGUAGGUGGUUCGUAAAGUUUAAUGUUAAAUACCAGGGCUCAACCCUGGACCGGCAUUGAAGCACUCACGAACUUGAGUACGGUAGAGGCAGAGGGAAUUCCAUGUGGAGCGGUGAAAUGCGUAGAGAUAUGGAGGAACACCAGUGGCGAAGGCGCUCUGCUGGGCCGAAACUGACACUGAGAAACGAAAGCUGGGGGAGCGAAUAGGAUUAGAUACCCCGGUAGUC